GCAGAGCAUCCUACGGGAGGCAGCAGUGGGGAAUAUUGCACAAUGGGCGCAAGCCUGAUGCAGCCAUGCCGCGUGUAUGAAGAAGGCCUUCGGGUUGUAAAGUACUUUCAGCAGUGAGGAAGGUGGGUAUGUUAAUAGCAUACUCAUUUGACGUUAGCUGCAGAAGAAGCACCGGCUAACUCCGUGCCAGCAGCCGCGGUAAUACGGAGGGUGCGAGCGUUAAUCGGAAUUACUGGGCGUAAAGCGCAUGCAGGUGGUUUGUUAAGUCAGAUGUGAAAGCCCGGGGCUCAACCUCGGAAUUGCAUUUGAAACUGGCAAACUAGAGUACUGUAGAGGGGGUAGAAUUUCAGGUGUAGCGGUGAAAUGCGUAGAGAUCUGAAGGAAUACCGGUGGCGAAGGCGGCCCCUGGACAGAUACUGACACUCAGAUGCGAAAGCGUGGGGAGCAAACAGGAUUAGAUACCCUGGUAG
rnacentral:rRNA from 1 species